GACUAACGCUGGCAGUGUGCCUUACACAUGCAAGUCGGACGGGGGACUUCGGUCCCUAGUGGCAAACGGGUGAGUAAUGGAUAGGUGAUCUACCGGGAAGAUGGGGGAUACCCCCUCGAAAGAGGGAUCAAUACCCAGUACGCUCCGCAAGGAGGAAAGGUGGUGCAAGCCACCGCUUUUCGACGAGCCUAUCUCCUAUCAGCUAGUUGGUGAGGUAAUGGCUCACCAAGGCUAUGACGGGUAGCUGGUCUGAGAGGAUGAUCAGCCACACUGGAACUGAGACACGGUCCAGACACCUACGGGAGGCAG
rnacentral:rRNA from 1 species